GGAGGUCGGGAGCCUUCAAUAAAUCCUGCCGCCAGGAUGAGAAAAACCACAUGUCUGAACACUGAGACCGAGCGGUGAGGAGAGAAGGCAGGGUGAAGCGAGGGCUGCCGGCAAGGUACAGUACUCCCACGUGUUCAUCACAGAAGUCACUCGGAAACCUGACGAGGGAAGC